GAUGAAGAACGUAGCGAAAUGCGAUACGUAAUGUGAAUUGCAGAAUUCAGUGAAUCAUCGAAUCUUUGAACGCAUAUUGCGCUCUCUGGUAUUCCGGAGAGCAUGCUUGUUUGAGUAUCAGUAAACACCUCAACUUCCAUAUCUUUUUUGAAAUGGGAGUUGGACUUGAGUGAUCCCAACGCUUUUCCUCACCGAAAAGCGGCGGGUUACUUGAAAUGCAGGUGCAGCUGGACUUUUCUCUGAGCUAUAAGCAUAUCUAUUUAGUCUGCCUAAAAAACAGAUUAUUACCUUUGCUGCAGCUAACAUAAAGGAGAUUAGUUCUUGUGCUGACUGAUGCAGGAUUCACAAAGACAGGCUUCGGCCGACUUUGUAAACUCGAUCUCAAAUCAAGUAAGACUACCCGCUGAACUUAAGCAUAUCAAUAAGCGGAGGC
rnacentral:misc_RNA from 1 species